rnacentral:lncRNA from 1 species
UUCUGCUGCUUCUGGUUUCCAGCAAAGGUGCGUCCCUUUUUUUCAAGCAUUGCAUAUAAGUCCCUUUUUUUCAAGCAUUGCAUAUAAGUCCCUUUUUUCAAGCAUUGCAUAUAAGCUUCGGUGAGACAGCGUCGGCGCACUACCAGAAACCGUUCUUUUCCCCACGACCAACAACCCACAGGAAAACGGCGCUGUCGGUCCGUCAGGAAUAAAACGACAAGGAAAUGAACAAAUGGCUGACGGUAAACCAACAGGAAUUAUUUUCCUGGCGGUUUUUCCUGUCGGCCAUGCCCAGGAAAAACUUAGAUCCGUCAGGUUUAGAAAUCAGCUUAUUGUGAUGGUUCCUGUCAGGAAAAAGACACCAGGAAAACAAUAUUUCAUUUAUUGCGAUUAACCAUGCAUUUAAUCAGUAUAAUUUCUGGUAAAUAGAUACUAAGAAAAUUGUCCAUAUCAUAUAUCAAUGGCAACCAAGCAUCCAAAAAAACAAUCUAUAGACGUCACAUAAAGUUGAGUCCAUAUAUAGACUUGACCAAGAGUUGCAUACAACAGUGCUACAUACAUACUGGCCACCACCACUCUAAUUAUCAUAUCCAUCACAGUGCACAAAACACUGCAGUGAUAUCAAACUACAUGGAUAGAAAGCCUCCUAGGUUAAUGAGGACAUCACUUUAGAAAAGUGAAUGCAACAAAAGGAUAAGCUGCUAAGUUUGGCCCGGAGCAUAUGGUACUACUACACACAUAUCCAAAAUACCAUAAAGACCAUUAAUCAUCAAUUGCCAUGCAAGUGACUAGUGAGAUCCUCCUCAGGAGACACCAUCAGGAUUGAAGCCACAAUUGUUAUCGUUACCACCAAUGUUCUCCUCCUCAUUGCCGCUGUCAUUGUUGCAAUGGUUGACAUCAUGGUCGAUAGGGCCAUCCUCUGAACUAACAUGAGAUGAAUCCGUGUUUACCUACAAAGUCAUACACAACAUUAAUGAGAACAGGCACAUAAGAACACAUGAUUUGAAGCUAUUUCAGUAAUCUCCAACCAUUUUAUAACAGGUUUAUGAAGCUAUCAGGUCUUGCUUCCAAAGUAACCAGAUUUGCAAUAUUACAAUUAAUUCCAAUAGUAGCAAGGUGCACUUAGUUCUGUUUACAUCUCUGCCUUCUGUUGUGCUCCAGGUUUCAUAAAUCAUUAUCUAAAAUUCGUAAGAUCUCAUAAUCACAUACACCAAGAAACAUAGUAAGAUAUACAAGGUGUACUAUCAGCAGAAAAGAAACAUGGCUGAGCUUGCUGAAAAACGACUAAAUUAAAAGGAUAACUUACCGCAAAAGAAUUACAAAUUCCUAACCAUGAUAUAAAAAGGAAAAACAGAUCUGCAACUUACUUAGCACGCUGAUACAUGUUCAUACAAAAGAAACAACUAGAAAUACUUCUAGCUUGAACCAACAAGACAAGCUCUAGCUAAUCAGAACUUCAAGAAAGGAUGCUAUAAAUGAUAGUCACAUCAAACUUGCCUAAGUACCAAAGGGACGAGCAAAAGGUUACAGUAGAAUAUUGUGUGGACAGCUAUGUUUUUAAGGCAGUAAAGCGUCAUAAGGCGGAGGAGGGCCGCUCUGACGCCUAAGUGCCAAGGCGAGGCGGUAAGGCGAGGCAAGGCGACGCCUUAAACAUUGCAGGAAAAGAGUCAUCAAUAGGUCUGCACAUAUUAAUACUAGAAAAAGAGCAAUGGCUGAGAGAUGGGCCACUACUUAUGCACCUCCCAGUGACCCAAAAGCCCAUCUAGUGGCCAUAUACACCCCCGUGACCUAAUUCCACUAUCUCCUUCCCUUCUUUCCCACCACAGCCGCCACGAAGCCACACCCUUUCCUCCCUCCCUCCUCCAGUCCCCUCUCCUCUUCAUGGCCCCACCCUUCUCCCUCACAGCAGCAAGCCCCAGGAGCCCCCAGUCCUCCCUCCUCUUCAUGGUGCCGGGAGACAGCGGGGCCGUCAUCUCCAAGCCCCAGGAGCAGCCAGAACUAGGGCAGCCACAGCCGUACACUUCAUGUCUGUCUAAGGCGGGGUAGACGCCUUGCCAUCCUGGGGCGCCUUGACGCCUAGGCGACGACUAGGCGACGCUUAGGCGACGCCUUAAAAACAUAGGUGGACAGAUGCAAGGUUCCUAGGCAAUUCGCAAGCAAGAGGUUUUACUAGCAAUAAGUUUCACUAGAAGUAGGCAUUCAACAAGAAGUAAAGUUUCACUAGCAAUCAGAGAAUCAGCAAGCAUAGGAUGUACAAGCUAACACAAAAAAGGGGAAAGAGAUGAAACAUACAAGGCGCUUUUGUGCUUUCUGGCUACUGAUUGCACCAUUAUUGCCACUUUCGUCGAGGUCUUUCAUACCAGAUUUCAUCACAGCAUAUGUGUUUAUUAUGGUGGCCUUCUCAGCACUGACGGAGCUAGGCAGGAUCUUCAGGGGGGCCAAACAGAAAUACUACAUGUUUGGGGGGGCCAAAGUGUAUACUUUUUCUAAUCCAAGCAUCCCUUAAAAAAUUUCCUUCCUAUUCUUUGUCAAGGCUGGGGGUGCCAUGGCCCCUGUAAGCUACAACGUAGCUCCGCCACUGCUUCUCAGGUCCAAAGUAUAUUCCUACAAGUGCAAACAGAUAGUUAUAAGUGAAAGCAUGUUGCAGCCACUAAAGAUAAAUUGUAGUGAGAUCCUCAAAAAGCAUCUGCCAAGAAUGCAUUUUAUCAUGGAUUAUACAGCAAAGUAUAUUUAUUUGAAUUUCGCAUAGAUUAUAGUAAAGCAUAUUUAUCAUUACCAUGAACAUUUGGUACUUUGGGAUAUGAUACCAUUACCAAUUGAGUUACCAUCAGCUUUGCAAUGGAAUCUAGUGUAGUGAAGUGAGGCGGUCAUCCUGCAUGAUUAUGUCUGGAUAUUAGAUCCGAUGUGCCAAUAGUAUAUACAAAUAACUCCUGACUGUAAACAUAAUAGGAUUAACAUAGAACAGGACAUUAAACUGUAAUUCAAUCAUGAAGUCAUGAUCAAAUGCACAUACCCAACAUUGAGAAAAUAUCCAGACCUCAUCACCAGUGAACCGAGAAAAAUUGCCUGCUAUUCAUUGAUGCAAUAGGAGAAAGAACACAGAAAAAGCAAGUGACCAAGCUACAUGUUGUUGCAUAAGCCUGGGUCAAAUACAAUACACUAUCAAGCCAAUAUAAACACUAGCACUGACAUUAGUAUGCGAGAAAUCAGUUCAGAAAGCAUGUACCUUUCUUUUCUUCACUUGGAUCUUAAGGUUUCUCUCACUAUGGAGAAGCUGUACGGUAGAGAAGAGGUGCAGAGUUCCGAGCGACCAAGAGAGUUUCUUAAUUCUCAGAGAGUUCCUGAAAGCACAUAGUAAGUAACGGAACAAAUUAUAUGGAGAAGAACAUUUUCCAGUUUUUCAAUGACAUCAACAAAUGGAAGUGCUAAUAGCACACCUAAAAGUAGCUCCUAAAAUUUUCUAGAUAGGAGAAAGAAGAAAGCUCUUUAUUGAAAAUGAAAACUGAAUAAAUCAACACACUACAAACAAAUGCAAAUGGCGCUUAUUUGUCACUCAUAUGGCAAAAUCUUUCGGUCGCUUAACCAAGAAAAAAGAAAAUCGAGAUCCUGUUGUCCCGAGACCAUUAUUCUUAUACAUAAUUUGUAUGAACAACUUCAGAAUCUUUUUUUUUUUGCGUGGGUGAACAACUCAAGAUCCUAGUUGAGACUUACCACGGUCUUGGAGAAAAGGAGGAGGAGGUCACAUCGGAAGAGGAGGCGGCGGCUUGCUGGAUUUGCGACCAGAGACUCCCCAGAUCUGCAGUAGGAAGCACGAGGCGCCGGCAACGCGUAGCGGACGACCCUAUUAGAGUGCGGUGGAGGGUGUGAGCCGAGGGAGGUGGGAUGCGGCGGCGGACGCUAGUGAAGGCAGAACGGCGGUAGAGGAUGUCAGGACGGGACACGGGAGACGGGUGGGCGUGGCGGACGCAUGUGGACGAGAUGAGAUACGGGCGGUAGUGGAGGUCGGAGGCGGGCGGCGCUAGAACGAGUUAUUUGUGGAGGAGGGCGGCGGGUCCAUCUGGCCAGGGAGAUGGAGGAGUGCGGCUGGGGUGGAGGCGGCGGCCAUGGAGGUAGAGAGACGAGACGAGGAGAGGAGAAGUGGGCAUUUCGCUGUUGUGUAAUGGCGGGCUGGGCCUAAAACAUUUUCCCGUGGGCUGUACAACUCACAGGAAAGCAUAUUUUCCUGAGAGGAAGCAUGGAAGUACCUACAUAAAAUAGGUUAUUCUCGUGAGGGUCAAAUUUUGCCCGCCAGGAAUAUUCGAAUUCCUGUGGGGAGCUUCGGGCCUCACAGGAAAAUUAAGCCACUCACAGGAAAAGUCAAGUUUCUGGUAGUAAGGCCAUGGUGGCGCAUGCUGGUUGAUGGUGUGUGUGGGAGGGAGGGCUUUGAAACGUCUGAGGGUGGGGUGAGAGCCAUCAUCCCUUCGUGAAGAGCGUCGGUUUUUACGCCCACCCAACUCCCUCGGCGUAUCGGGGGAAACCCCGGGACUUGCCCGGGCAGCAACAAUGUCGCUAUCGCUUCCCCUCCUGAGGGUGUUGCUUGUUUCGCAGCGGUUCGAAGCACUAGGAGCAUGGUGAGACAACUUCGGCGGGCGCAGCGGUUGCGUGUCUUCUUCAUCUUGUUGAUCCGCCGUUUUGUCGACGUUGUUUCCUUUCCCGCGUGUGGAGGCAGCCGCCAUUGGCCGCCGCCGGGAUGCGUCGCGCGUCGGGGUUGCCGCGCCAGGGCCGGGAGAUGAGGAGCUGCAACCCCGUUCCCGCCUUUGUGCCUGUCGUGGCGCCGCCUUAAUUUAUUCGGAGGCCGAUAGUCGUGGUCGCGCUAGGAGCAUCAUCGGGCCGAGGGCUGCCGCGUGACGCAGUGGCCACGCCAUCGCCUCGCCGUGUGCAUGCAUUGUGUGGCGCCUCCGUGUGGGCCGGGGAACAGCGCCACGGUGGAGGACGCAGCGACGGAUUACGAAUUUGUCAUCAAGCAUCUGGUCAAGAUCCGCACCGUAGGAGUCUCAGAUAGCACCGACUACCCCAAGUUUGAUCUCGUCCUCCUCAGCACGGGCUCCGACGGACAUGUGGACUCAUUGUUCCCUAACCACGAAGCCAUGGAGCUGAAGGACGACUGGGUCACCUACAUCACAGACUCCCCGUAGCCUCCACCCGAGAGAAUCACCUUCACCCUCCCUGUAACAAACUCGACAUCAAACAUAGCGAUCCAAGCGACGGGCGUCGGCAAGGCAAACGCCGUGCAUUUGGCCGUGUCUGACAGCAGCGACGGUCCAGACGCCCCCGUGCCCCUGCCUGCCAGGACGGUCCAGCCAACGCACGAGAAGCCGGUGUGAUUUCUGCACAAGGCGGCUGCCUCAUCACUCGAGGCGCUGUCUGACGAUGCCUACGAGCAACAACAUCGUGAGUACUACUCCCUUCGUUCCGAAUUACUUGUCGCAGAUAUGGAUGUAUCUAGAUGUAUUUUAGCUCUGGAUACAUUCAUUUCUGAGACGGGUAAUUUGGAACGGAGGGAGUAGCUAACUGAGAACAAAGCGGAGAUUCCUUUGCUGUGAAAAAUGAAGGCGUGUAGGUACUUAGGUGGGUGGAUCAUAUGAUGGGAGAAGGUUUGCUUGGUUCGACGCCUUUAGUCCUCUCCGUGAUAGUCCGACGCAUGGUUCGUUCCAUGAAAUCGGAAGGGCCGUCAGUUUUGGCGGACGACGUAGAUGGUUUUGUUCGGCAUUGAUGUUUAUGCGCGAGUCAUGGCCUCGGAGACGAGAACAUUGAGACCUGAAUUGUGGCCAGUUUUUAUGGUAUUGUGAACUCUAUUCUAUCUGGCAAAUAUUAGAUUCUUCUGCAGGCAUGUUUUUCUUUGUAUGUGGCCGAUCCCUUUGCGUUGUUUGGAGCACCACCUAGAACCAGGGCUAUAGAUUCGUCUGGUUUUACUUGAUGUGGGUUCUGUGUUUUUCUGCCGUGACAUUUCUCGUGAUUUCUUGUGUUUGUCAGAUGGAAUUUGGUUCCAUGUAUUUUUGGUGAAUUGCUGCCCAAAAGGUUAUGAAAAUUCUUGAAAUAGGUGGUUGUACAAGCAUGUGCAUUGCCACUAUCUGCAUAGUUUUUUUUUUUUUUGCCAUUUUGCAUACUUGUCCCAUGUUAGCCUGAUUGAGAUAAUACAGAUAAAAAAGUAACAUCUGCAUGUUGAUUGGUUGUCUGCAUACUCUUAAACACUCGGAUGCAGCUAUUUUUGUAGCCCGCCACUUGUUCAUCGCAUGCUUCCCAUAAACUGUAAACCCUCGGAACACCACAUACCACUUGUCCUAAUAUGGCAGAAGAGCAAACAAUUCAAGCAGAACUUGUUGUGCUGUAUGAUCAUGCAUGCUUACUUAUAUUUCAUGUCUAGUGUGCUCCAUUGGUUGCUGCUUGAAUUGUUUGCUCUUCUGCCAUAUUAGGACAAGUGGUAUAUGGUGUUACGAGGGAGAGUUCCGAGGGUUUACAGUUUAUGGGAAGUAUGCGAUGGACAAGUGACGGGCUACAAAAAUAGCUGCAUCAAAGUGUUUAAGAGUAUGCAGGCAACCAAUCAACAUGCCGAUGUUGGUUUUUUGCCUGUAUUAUCUCAACCAGGCUGACAUGGGACAAGUGUGCAAAGUGGCCAAAAAACGGUGCGGAUAAUGGCGAUGCACAUGCUUGUACAGCCACCUAUUUCAAGAAUGAAAUUUCAGAACCUUUUGGGCAGCAAUUCAGCAAAAUUACGUCGAACCAAAUUCCAUCUCGCAAACACAAGAAAUCACAAGAAAUAUCAGGGAAGAAAAACACUGAACCCACAUCGGGUAAAAACCGGACGAAUCUAUAGCUCUGGGUUCCAGGCAGCGCUUCAAACAACAGACAAGGAUCAGCUACGCGCAAGAAAACACAUGCCGGCAAAAUAAUCUGAUCUUAGCUAGACAGAACGGAGUUCACAACACCAUAAAAAACUGGCCACAAUUCAUGUCUUAAUGUUCUCAACUCUGAGGCCACAACGCCCGCAUAAACAUCAACGCCGCACAACAAAACCAUCUCCGUCGUCUGCCAAGACCGACGGCGCUUCCGGUUUCCCGGAACGAACCACCCGUCGGACCAACACGAAGAGGACUAAAGGCGUUGAACCAAGCAAACAUUGUUCCAUCAUACGAUCCACCCACCUAAGUACUUACACAACUUCAUUUUACACAGCAAAGGAAUCUACGCUUUGCUCUCACUAAGCUAGCACUCACGACGCUGCUGCUGGUAGGCGUCGUCGGACAGCGCCUCGAGCGAUGAGGCGGCCUCCUUGUCCAGGAACCACACCAGCUUCCCGUCCGUUGGCUGGACCAUCCUGGCCGGCAGGGAUGCAGGGGCGUCUGGGCCGUCGCCGCCGUCAGAGACGGCCGAAUGCACCGCGUUCGCCUUGUCGACGCCCAUCGCCAGGAUCGCGAUGUUUGACGCCGAGUUUAUCACAGGGAGAGUGAAGGUGAUUCUCUCGGGCGGAGGCUGCGGGGAGUCCGUGAUGUAGGUCACCCAGUCGUCCUUCACCUCCAGGGCUUGGUGGCUAGGGAACAAUGACGCCACGUGGCCGUCAGAGCCCAUGCUGAGGAGGAUGAGAUCGAACUUGGGGCAGUCGGUGCUCUCCGAGACCCCUAUAGUGCGGAUCUUCACCAGCUGCCUGAUGACAAAUUCGUAGUCCGUCGCCGCGUCCUCCACCGUGGCGCUGUCGUUUAUGGAGUAGACAUGGCCGCUCAUAAUAGGUACCUAGAAAAAAUUUAGACACAACAGAUGGUUAACUUGGUGAAAACAAGCGAUUUUUUCUCGUUGGUGCAGGAUAAUAAUAAACCAAAUAAAGUGAAAUCAUGGAAUCUACUCAUGUAACAUGAAAUGGCAAGGGCAGUGGCAUGCAGGGGAAAAUGGUAUCCAGACUUUGCCUUAAAACAAACUCCUUCAACUACAUAAAUCAUAUGGUUGGUGCAACUUAAGACAGGUGUGCCAGAGGCAAUCAUCAUGUUUCAAUCAAGAGUACUCAUUUGGAUAAGCUCCUUAGUCCGACAAUAAAGACUGGAGAAGAUAGGGAAGGGUGUGGUUGGUGGUGGGGGUUGCAGGAGUAGUUGGAAGUUGGAACUACUGAAGUAGCUGUUAGGAAGUCUUAAUCUGGUUCCCAUGGUUGCCAAAUGACACCGAACAAUCUGAACAUAGCAGACUAACAGGAAAUGGUAAAGCAAAAUGGCCUACCUGACUCACAAGCUACCAGAACAACCACCAGUAUCUAAUAUGCAGAAUCUACAGAAAGGUGAUAUUCUUAACUUACAUAAUAAUAAUAUUUGCAUAUUUGUGUCUUUCACCAUGUUAAAAUACCAGUACGAAAGCACAACGAACAGUAUUCAGGCAAGUAAAAUGUACUAUAUGCCAAAUGAGAAAAAAGACAUGAGACUGCAAUACAACUCUGAGCCAAGGCGCGUUAUAUUUUCCAACUCUAAACCUGGUCUUUCUUUCAACUUUUUUUUAAUUGUAACAGAGAACAUGAAAUAUUGGAUUAUUAAUAUAUUAUUGUAGCCCAUCGGUUGGUCCUUACUACUGAAUUCUUCUUGUGAACACUUACACUUUUGACUACUCAAAUUAACUCUCAAAAGUCCAACAAGUUGGACAUUUAUCAAGCACCAGAUACUCAGAACAUUCGGCGAACAAUAAUAGUACGAAGUCACAGGUCCAUCGUACAAUCAAUUGGAUUGACAGGCAGGAUAACCUACUAACAGUGGACACCAAUAAUGAUAUAUCUACAGUGUAACAAUUUCAAAUAUACCCACUUCAGCUCUUUUCCCUCAUAGCUGAUACACAAAUUGUAACCUAACACCAUAUGCAGUACAGAAAAUGAAAAUGAAAAGGAAAACCCUGAAUGACCCAACUGGGAACUGCUAUUGGCUAUUUGACUUGAUAUACUGAAGAAAAGUACUAUGUAUGAUGGACCUCAUGCAAGGUAUAAAUAUCAUCUCAUAAGCACAAUGUAAAAUGAAACUCAGGCAACAAACAUCCAGAAACUAAUAUAUGCUCUAGGUUAUACAGCAAAAUUUCUCCUAAAGUCCACAUACCUUUGAUAGAAAUCCUUCUUUUGUUAACUUAUAGUUACUGUCUGCAUGGUUCUUUGCUACAGCACGUUCGUCAGACCAGAAUAUGUACCAUUUAGACCAAUCCAGGGUCUUGAUGUAUGGCGCUUCACAAAGUUUGCUUUUCAUAAAUUAAAAAAAAACUUCAGAUGCAAUAAUCCGAACUGAAUGAAAUUUCUUGCGCAGAAACAAAUAUAGCAUAUUAGCUAACAAAGAAUAGGAAAAUUCAUUACCUCAAAAAACUGACAAGGGGCCCUCCAGAUAGGGCAAUAGCGAAGUAUCCCCUUUCUUUAACAGAGAUUUCUGAAACUUGGGAGAUAUACUCAGCUAGAUCUGUUAAUAUCUCAUCUGAACUCUCAAAAAUCCUUAUUUCACUGUUCAGUUUUGGCUCAUAUGAGGCAGCAAUUUCCCUCUCCAUUGUUUGCUUCAGCCUAGAACUCUAACGAGUUAUUACUACACCAAAUAAUCCUGCACAAAAAGCAUCAAUAUAUUAUCAACAAGGAGGUCCAGCAGAAGUGAUCCAACUCGUGCACAGAACAUCAGAAUUUAAGAAAACUGCAACAUAGUGACAUAAUCUAGCUUUCAGCAAGGCACCAAAAUCUUGAAAAGCAAAAUAAAAUCUAUCCUGCAAAAUAUCAUGUACAGAACAUCAGAACUUAAGAAAACUUCAAAGUUCAAUCAUGGAAACAGUUCUUAAGUUCCUAAUAGUUUCAUGUUGAAAAACAGAGACAAUCUCUAACAGCUUCAGCCAGAAAGGUGCCAAAAUGGUGAACAGAGGCACGUGAUCAAUCCUAUACAAUAUCAUCACCUAAUCCCAUACACCCUGUUAUCCUAUAUAGUGCAUAUCACCAUCAUAGCAGCGCUUUCCUUAUUAACUGGGAUGUCACAAUUGACAAUUGGCAGUGAAAGAUAACCUCCAUCAACCAAUAUUAAAACAUGCAUUAGCAAGGCUAUUUUGUCACUUUUAUGUUAACUGACUAUAGAAUUAGAAAUAUCAUGCAUAACCUCAAAUGUCUAAAAUAACCCUGCAGUAGAAUAUUACAACAUGGGGCUACCUUCUAGAACACAGAAGAGUGACAAUCGAGGAAACUGGAAAAGCAAGUAGAUAACAUGUUCAUUUUUUAAUAUGGCAUCCUUCUACAAGCUAUGUUUGGACUUUCAGAUAGCAUAACAGGACAAAUUGCCAACUUGCAGGGGAAAUGGUUAGAGAACUACUACUGUGUUUGUAGAGCUUGACCAGAAGGAAAUAGUUUUAAAGAAAAGAGUUUGCACACAACAUCAAAACACCUAAAAAAAAGGAACAUAAACGCCUUUCACGUCAACCUGAGGAAGCAUAGAUUUGCUGUAUAAUAUGAUGUGACAGAAAAUCCAGUUGAAUUUGCUAAUACGCAUGACAUGAUAGAUCUACCAUUGCUUUAAAUCAUUCUACUUUGGCAUUCCCGGUAAAUUUUGCAAGAAGGGAUUUCCACCAUUGCGCGUUAAUAGCUGGAACUCGCUCUCAACCCACGGUUGAGUAAAACGUACUGCUGCACAUGAACAUCAGGCCAAAACGCCAAAUCCAAAAUUGAGAUGCAAAUGAUCUCUUGUGAACUAAUAAUACACGUGGCCCAAGGUUCCCAAACUAACUACCAAAACUGAACUUCCAACGAUAUUAAUCUGAAAUAAGAAAAGGCAUAGCAGCAUGAGUAAUCUCAGCAUUACACACAAGAGUAUCACGCAGUCAGUAACAUUCGUCUAGAGAACAUAAAUACUGGAGUACCUCCGUUCCGAGUUAUAAGAUGUUUUGGAUAUUUCAAUAUGGACUACCUACGGACUAAAAUGAGUGAACAAACACAGGUAAAACGCGUCUAUAUACACCCGAUCCAGAAAAAAAAAGUUAGAACACCUAAUAGUUCCAAACGAGGAAGCAGGUCAUUAAAAGAAAACACGCUGGCUUCUACUAGCGCUAAGCUUAACCCAACUCUGUAAACAGCAUUGGGGAAGAAGAACUGGCAAGGGAAGCUGCAGCUGCAAGGUUUAGCGGACACCAUCCGAGCCGAGACCAGCUCAAAGAUUCCAAAGCAUUCUUGCUGUGGAGUGGCAACAAAAGCACACCAGUGAAAGAAAAGAGAAGAAAAAGGCAGGAACGCUGCAGUGAAACCCGCUCUGGAUGCCAGACUGACAAAAGGCGCCGCUUCCUUUGGCCCGUUCCGCCCUUAUCCCGCUGGGAAAAAGAAACCCAGAAGGAACU